CCUACGGGAGGCAGCAGUGGGGAAUAUUGCACAAUGGGGGGAACCCUGAUGCAGCGACGCCGCGUGGGUGAAGGAGUAUUUCGGUAUGGAAAGCCCUAUCAGUAGGGAAGAACAAUGACGGUAGCUGACUAAGAAGCAUCGGCUAAAUACGUGCCAGCAGCCGCGGUAAUACGUAUGGUGCAAGCGUUAGCCGGAUUUACUAGGUGUAUAGGGAGCGCAGGCGGCGCGUUAAGCCUGGUGUGAAAGCCCGCGGCUCAACCGCGGGACUGCAUUGGGAACUGGCGCGCUGGAGUGCAGGAGGGGUAGGCGGAAUUCCUGGUGUAGCGGUGAAAUGCGUAGAUAUUAGGAGGAACACCAGUGGCGAAGGCGGCCUACUGGACGGUGACUGACGCUGAGGCUCGAAAGCGUGGGGAGCAAACAGGAUUAGAUACCCGUGUAGUC
rnacentral:rRNA from 1 species